ACCUUCAGCAGUUAAGAAUAUAAAACACAUAUUCAUUGUAUUAAAACAAAUCACUAUAAACAUCUGACCUAAAGAAGUAUAUCAUAAUUGCCUUUGCUUCAAACACACUUGGACAAAAACACACGUGUAAAAUGUAAUUCUGCCCGUCUGUGACCGCAGCUGUUCGGUUUUUAUAAACCUCUGUGGGCGUGGCACCCUCUCCAUUGAACUCCCACCUAUUGACUUUUGUGUUGUCUUUCACCGCCAGGACCUGUGCCUGGGGUGAAGAAGCAGAGCAAUGCUGACAGAGCCACGCCUGAGCAACAACACAAGCUGCGGCGCAAAACUAUGUUGCUGGAUCCAAGCAGCCUUCUAUGAAGGGGACUCGAGGACUGAGAGGGGACUCGAGGACUACUCCGUACACAUCUCUGGACCUGGUUUGUGACGGUGUUGAUCCAUGUGGAAGGGACACAGACACCCCAAGAGGCCCCUGUUUCACCUUUAAAUGAUCUGGACCUGUGCCUGAACCAGAACCACAUGGACCCAAGACCAGAGUCAUCAGAGGCAGUGCAGCUCAGGAUUCUUUCAGCAGCCUUCA